UACGAAGGGGGCUAGCGUUGUUCGGAAUUAUUGGGCGUAAAGAGCUCGUAGGCGGUCCUUUAAGUCGGGUGUGAAAUCUCAGGGCUCAACCCUGAAACCGCACCCGAUACUGGUGGACUUGAGGCAGGUAGGGGAGAUCGGAAUUCCUGGUGUAGCGGUGAAAUGCGCAGAUAUCAGGAGGAACACCGGUGGCGAAGGCGGAUCUCUGGGCCUGUUCUGACGCUGAGGAGCGAAAGCGUGGGGAGCAAACAGG
rnacentral:misc_RNA from 1 species